rnacentral:rRNA from 1 species
GACGUAGGGCGCGAGCGUUGUCCGGAUUUAUUGGGCGUAAAGAGCUCGUAGGCGGCUCGUUGCGUCAACCGUGAAAACCCGGGGCUUAACUUCGGGCUUGCGGUUGAUACGGGCGGGCUGGAGUACGGUAGGGGCAGAGGGAAUUUCCGGUGGAGCGGUGAAAUGCGUAGAGAUCGGAAAGAACACCAACGGCGAAAGCACUCUGCUGGGCCGACACUGACACUGAGAGACGAAAGCUAGGGGAGCGAAUGGG